rnacentral:hammerhead_ribozyme from 1 species
AUCCAACUGACGAGUUCCAAAUAAGACUAAACGCGCGUACUGGAU